UACAGAGGGUGCAAGCGUUAAUCGGAGUGACUGGGCGUAAAGGGCAUGUAGGCGGAAUGAUAAGUUAACUGUGAAAGCCCUGGGCUUAACCUGGGAAAGUCGGUUGAUACUGUCAUUCUGGAGUCUAGGAGAGGGAAGUGGAAUUUCCGGUGUAGCGGUGAAAUGCGUAGAUAUCGGAAAGAACACCAGUGGCGAAGGCG
rnacentral:rRNA from 1 species